CCUCCCUCUGUAUCACCACGUCGUUGAGGAGGACCUCCCUCUAACACCACAUCACUGAGGAGGACCUCCCUCUGUAUCACCACAUCACUGAGGAGGACCUCCCUCUAACACCACAUCACUGAGGAGGACCUCCCUCUAACACCACAUCACUGAGGAGGACCUCCCUCUGUAUCACCACGUCAUUGAGGAGGAGCUCAGUAACUAACUUUUACAUGAGUUGAUUGCAUAAUAGUGGUACAUCUAAAAUGGCACCCUAUUCCCUAUAUUGUACACUACUUUAGACCAGAGCCCUAUGACACCCUAUUCCCUAUAUUGUACACUACUUUAGACCAGAGCCCUGUGGGUUCUGAAGUUUCAAAGUAGUGCACUAUAUAGGGAAUGGGAUUCCAUUUGAGACGCAACGCUAUGACUACUAGGACCACCUGACUGACUGCUGGUAGAAUCUACACACUAGGUUUGACCUCCUUUCUCCACUAUGGGGCACUCUACAGUAGGACUAAAUCUUUGUCGAAUGCUGCACAUGGUUAAUACACAGAUGAGGUUUUAAUACACUGAUGAGGUUUUAAUACACGGAUGAGGUGAGGAUACACUGAUGAGGUUUUAAUACACUGAUGAGGUGAGGAUACACGGGUGAGGUGAGGAUACACUGAUGAGGUUUUAAUACACUGAUGAGGUGAGGAUACACGGGUGAGGUGAGGAUACACGGGUGAGGUGAGGAUACACUGAUGAGGUUUUAAUACACUGAUGAGGUAAUGAUACACGGAUGAGGUUUUAAUACACGGAUGAGGUGAGGAUACACGGGUGAGGUGAGGAUACACUGAUGAGGUUUUAAUACACUGAUGAGGUGAGGAUACACGGGUGAGGUGAGGAUACACUGAUGAGGUUUUAAUACACUGAUGAGGUAAUGAUACACGGAUGAGGUUUUAAUACACGGAUGAGGUGAGGAUACACUGAUGAGGUUUUAAUACACGGAUGAGGUGAGGAUACACAGAUGAGGUUUUAUUGGUUAAAGUUUGUCUAUUUCCUCUCCAACGAUGACAUGGUUUUUGUUGUUUAAUUAUGUCUCGUCUCGGAAACCUGCUUUUCCUGGUACUUUUCAAAUGAACAGAUAACAUCUUGUGAUGAUUUUUAAGUUUUCAUGUUUGUAAUAACAGUCUUUAGCGUGGACACGGCCAAAUCAUUCAGUUGAUUUCAUUAAAUUAGUCUUAUGUUUUGUGAGUUUAACCUUGCAGACAUGACAAGUGUCAUCGUGUGUUUGGCUGGGAGCCGUUAUGAUUUAGCUGCUGUUCAUGUGGUUGAAUCUGUGAUUGCUUAGUUUAUAGUUUAUAACAAUGACAUUUAUUUGUUGAAUCACGUCGAGUUAAUUUGAUGUUUCAUCAGUGUACAUUUUAUUAUUCAAAAGCAUAUGGACAGCGGUGUUUCUUCCACAUUUUUGUUAAAUAAAUACUUUUGUUUGGUUUUUUUUUAAACUUAAAUACUGUGACUUGACUUCAGGUACCCAGAAUGAUCAAUAACAACAGUACAAAUGGAAUAACCAACUGUAGCUUUGGUAGUUUCACAGGUCCUUUUAAAGUGCUGUUAGCAUUGACUUACUCUUCAAGUAAGAUGUACAUCAAUCAUCGAUCAUGUUUUUUCAAUCACCUCACUGUGAGGACUUCUUUCUAUUUAAAUCUGAACCUGUAGUGCUGACAUCUUUGUCCUGGGGAAUAUGGUAGUCCUGUGUGAGACUUUAACAACACUGACCAUCCAGUCUGUCAAUACAAUCAUCACAGUCUGUAGCCUAACGUGUAAAAGUCCCAGCCUCGGUCUUACACAGUAGCUGAAGGUUUAUUUCUGUUUUUACUAAAGAAAAACACUGACACAUAUAUUUACUGUUCUGUGUUUUUUAAAUGCUGUUUGACUGUUCAUGAUUCCAUGUCAACACUAGACACCAGAAACAAUAAAGUGUUUUUUUGAUUCCUUUCUCAGACUCUUCCUGUCAUUUCAUUUGGGGGGGGGGGGUAGUUUCACAUUCUACUGUUGUUGUGUACAUCUGUUGUUGAGAGAAACGCGGAGUGUCAAUCUCUUCGUCUGAUUAACUCAUCUCUAAUGUCUCCCAUUUAUGAAAUGGAUGGUUGUAAAAAAUACAAAUGUAAAAAAUGUUUUGUAAAAGGCAGGAGACUGUUUGUCAUGGCAACAGCAAGUAUUCCAAGUCAUGAGUCUCUUUGAGGAUAAAUGAGAGAACUUAGAGGCGAAAGGAAAAAGAACCCUGGACACACUCUCCCUAGCUCUACAACUUCCUGUAUACCAACUGUGGUAUAACUGACUACAGGAUUGGGC
ensembl:lncRNA